UACGUAGGGUGCAAGCGUUGUCCGGAAUUAUUGGGCGUAAAGAGCGUGUAGGCGGUCAGGUAGGUCCGUUGUGAAAACUCGAGGCUCAACCUCGAGACGCCGAUGGAAACCAUCUGACUAGAGUCCGGAAGAGGAGAGUGGAAUUCCUGGUGUAGCGGUGGAAUGCGCAGAUAUCAGGAGGAACACCGGUGGCGAAGGCGGGUCUCUGGGCAGUAACUGACGCUGAGGAGCGAAAGCGUGGGGAGCGAACAGG
rnacentral:rRNA from 1 species